UCAGUGCUCUUAAUUGUUGAGCCAUCUCUCCAGCUGUUUAAUGGAUGCUAAUGAAGUAAUUUGUGAGUUUAUUUCUAAUCUGCUUUUUAGAUCCUAGUAGACAUGUGUGGUGGCACAUGCCUAAUCCCAGCAUUUUUGCAUGUGAUGGCUGUACAUGAAUUUCUGUGAGUUGGGAGACCAGUCUAGUCUACAGAGAAUGCCAGGUACACAGGACACAGUUCUGUCUCACAAAACAAAACAAAACAAAACAAAACAAAACAAAACAAAACAAAAAUAAAAAACCUUUGCUUUUGUUUGUAAUUCUUUCUAAAAACCCAACUUUGCUAGUGUAGGCUAUUUUAUUCUAAGUUUUUUUCACUUUACUCCCAUGGUUUAAUAAUGGUAUAUAGCUUUUUGGUAUGAAGUUUUCAUUCUUCAGAAAGUAUUUCACAUGUAAAUUCAAGUAUUAUUUUCUAUNNNNCUAUAUAUCUGAAUUUUAAUGAUACAACUUUCAUAAGUUUAAUUAAUGUAAGAAUGUCAUUAAUUUAUGGAAAGUUUUGAGCAAGUAAUGUGGAAAGAGAUCUUAAUCUUAAGAUCUGCUUUUAUCCCUGUGUUAGAUGUAUGCUGUUUCUUUUGCAUUCCUAUGAUAAGAAGUCUGGAACUUUAGAAGCUCAGAAUUGGUCAAUGCUGAGGAACAAAUCCUCUCACACUUUCUAUCAGCAGUAGCAUUGUAACUCCAGCCUGCAUUUAGAGCAGUGGAUAAGUUCAGUUUUAGAAGCUGUGUCGUCCCAUUGUCCCCAUUGUGCUUUAGACUUGGGCUACUGUCACCAAUAGAACAAGCUUGAGCUCCUGUCACCACUCAGUACCAUCUGCUUGUGUGUGUGUGUAAGGAAUAGUAAGCCUUAGAUAAUGGCUACAAAGAGUCAUUGCUUUAUUGUCUUCUUAGCUGGCUCUGUUUAGGUUCUUGUAUGCUGGGCUGAGUUUUCACUCCUUAGACCUUUAAAAAGUCUAAAAGUGCCUAAGUUGGAAAAAGUUAUUUUAAAAACAAUCAAAUACUAAUAAGAGAGUUGUCUUUACAAGACGAACCAUCAUCCCUUCCCUUCCAUCCUGUGGUUAAUUUUCACAGUGUAUUAAAUCAGGUUUUUAGUCCUAUAAGCCACAGUGGUUUUUUUGUACAGCAAACCAUAAAAAGUGUCAGUUGUUAAGGGGAAGGAGCAGAUGAGCGGUGCCUAUGGGGUUUUCACGGCCAUAUGUGUGAAGUUUGUAUUAGUGCAGAGUACAACAGACAAAGAAAUAAGGUCUUAAAUUGUUACCUCCAAAUCAUGGGGCUAUGGACAGUUAUUUUAACACAGGGUCACGUGGUGUAGCUCACAGUGGCCUGAAUUGGAGGUCCUUGUACCUCCAGGCUGCUGACAGUCCAGCCAUGCACUCCACCAUCCCUUGGCUCAUUACAUUCCUUUAACCUUUUAUUUUUGGAGCUUUACCCAUUAUACUGUUUAUAUAUUUUAUACUCAGAAAAUAAAAGCUCUAAUAUGAAUUUUAUUAGAGUAUGAAAUUAAUUUUAAAGAUGAACGUUCUUAAAUAAAAUUAGUUAAACACUACAUAAUUUAAUAAAUAUAGCAUUUGAAGUAGAAUUAUGAGAAUUUUUAUAUGAUUAGAAUUUGUGGUCAAACUAAACAGGAGCAAAAUUGACUUUCUAGUUUCUGAAAAUGGGGAAUGAGAGAUCCGGAAAAGGUCUUAAGUGUUUAUGAUAGCAUGCCCUGGAAACUUUUAUCAUUGUAAUUGCCCAGUUACAUUGAUUUUCACCACUUUAUUGGUAAUUGUUUAUAACAGAACUUAAUUUUAUUCCUCUAAGUGGUAUGCUAAGUCUCAUUCUGUGUCAAUCAUAAUGUAUCUGUGACCAGCAGAAUAUUGGGCAAAAAAUUUGAUGUAAUACUUGGUAGGUGUUUUUAACCUCCUUCAUUUUCAGUUUCUGCAAAAUGG
ensembl:sense_intronic Gm43330 predicted gene 43330